CGGCAGGUCUUACACGACCAGCUCCUGCAGACUCCCCCAGGGCCGGAAGGCAGCAAGGGUAAGCGGUUGUAGCGGUGCGAUGUAAGUAAUCUGCCGAUU
rnacentral:SRP_RNA from 1 species